rnacentral:rRNA from 1 species
AAUUUUCCUUCCAGCGGGGGACAACGUUUCGAAAGGAACGCUAAUACCGCGUACGUUUCCCGGGACUCCGGUCCUGGGAAGGAAAGCUAGGUAGCAAUAUCCGGCACUGGAUGAGAAGCCUGCGUAGCAUCAGCUAGUUGGUGGGGUAACGGCCUACCAAGGCGAAGACGCUUAGCUGGUCUGAGAGGAUGAUCAGCCACACUGAAACUGAGACACGGUUCAGACUCCUACGGGAGGCAGCAGUGGGGAAUAUUGGACAAUGGGCGCAAGCCUGAUCCAGCCACGCCGCGUGAGU